CUACGGGGUGCACCAGUCGAGAAUCUUCGGCAAUGGGCGUAAGCCUGACCGAGCGACGCCGCGUGCGGGAUGAAGGCCCUCGGGUUGUAAACCGCUGUCGUUGGGGAGGAAAUGCGUGUGGGCUAUCCUGCAUGUUUGACCUAUCCAAGGAGGAAGUACGGGCUAAGUUCGUGCCAGCAGCCGCGGUAAGACGAACCGUACGAACGUUAUUCGGAAUUACUGGGCUUAAAGGGUGCGUAGGCUGCGCGGAAAGUUGGGUGUGAAAGCCCUCAGCUCAACUGAGGAAUUGCAUCCAAAACUGCCGUGCUCGAGGGAGACAGAGGUGAGCGGAACUCAAGGUGGAGCGGUGAAAUGCGUUGAUAUCUUGAGGAACACCGGUGGCGAAAGCGGCUCACUGGGUCUCUUCUGACGCUGAGGCACGAAAGCUAAGGUAGCAAACGGGAUUAGAUACCCUUGUAGUC
rnacentral:rRNA from 1 species